AGCCACUGAUGAAAUUGAUUCUGCCAAAUGAGUUACAGUGAUAUUACUCUUUCCGUUCCUUUUCCAUCUGAGGUU
ensembl:snoRNA